rnacentral:rRNA from 1 species
CAUAAGACUCUCGGCAACGGAUAUCUCGGCUCUUGCAUCGAUGAAGAACGUAGCAAAAUGCGAUACCUGGUGUGAAUUGCAGAAUCCCGUGAACCAUCAAGUUUUUGAACGCAAGUUGCGCUCGAGGCCUCUUGGCUAAGGGCACGUCUGUCUGGGCGUCACGC